UUGUUUGUGUUGGAAUUUAGAAGAACAGGACUUGACGUCUCUUCUAUUAGCAAUAGUGAAAAUUUAGAAAAGGAUUUGGAGGGAAGUGGAAGUGUAGAUCAUAACAUGGCAAGAGCUAGGCCUUCUUUCUGGGCUUUGAUGAAGGUGGUGUGGGUCAAAUUGGCUAUGAAUCCUAAUUCAUAUGCCUGUAUCAUUGGCCUUGUUUGGGCUUUCAUAGCAAGCAGGUGGCAUUUUGAAAUGCCAAGCAUCAUGG
rnacentral:misc_RNA from 1 species